GGUGAGGUGCCGGAGUGGCUGAAGGAGCACGCUAGGAAUUUGUGUAUACGGCAGCGUACGGGGGGUUCGAACCCCCCCCUCGCCGCCA
rnacentral:tRNA from 1 species